GAUAAGCUUGAGCUGAAGGGAAGAAGUGAUUCACGUUAUUCUCAUUUGGGCAAUUGGGUUUAUGCUGAAAUUUGGGGAGAAAGCUAGAAGAAAAGGGAAGAAGAGGAAGAUUGAGGUUGGGAGACCUAGGAAGAGAAUUGAGGGAAUCAAACUCGAAUUUGAGCAAGGAAUUAUCAAAGUUAGGAUAAUCAAAAGGAAAGGGGCUUGGAGCUGGAAUUGGGAGGAGUUCAAGCUAAGUUUGAUUGAGGUCCUUGGAGAGGCUCGAGUUAGAGGAUCGUGCUCGCGACCUUGGUGCAUCGGGAAGCUCGGGAUACAGGUAAGAAAACCACUGUUCCCACAGAGCUUGUAUGCAGGGCUGAUCCCAAUAUGUUUGAAUUGUAGGGCGUAGCCCUUUGAUUGAAUUUGUACAUCAUUAUAUGUUUGUUAUGCUGUGAAUACGAUUACAUAAACGUUCGGCGAGAGCCGGGAACGGCGCAGGUCGAGGUCGGCAGGGGACCGGGAACGGCAUUUAGCACGUUGAGAGCAAGGCCGAGUACGGCAUGGGGCUGGAAGCAGCGUUGAGCACGUGGAGUGCGAGCUGCCAGGGUGAGACCCUAAAGGAUACCUGGGAUAUCCUCACGGUGUGGACCGCGAACCCAGGGCCUGGUAGAGCGCCUGGGACGGCAUGACCGUAAGGGCAAGAGGAAAGUCAGCCAACCAUGAGUAUGGAGAGCAUGAAGCGGCGUGUACAUGUUUGGUCUGCCUGGCUGCCACGGCCAGUGAUUUUGGGAGACGGUUGUAUUAAAACUUAGAUUUUGUCGUCUAGUCGACUCAAACUUGUAAAUUUUAUGUUGUAAAUAUUUCUAAACAGUAUCUUGGGAUCCCAAGUGUCAAACACUCAACGAUUUGUAGUAAAUGGAAUUAUUUUCAAAGUUUAUUUCACUGUUCAUGAUUUAAUUACACUUUUGACCUAAAAAUCUCGAUUAGC